UACGGAGGGUGCAAGCGUUAUCCGGAUUUACUGGGUUUAAAGGGUGCGCAGGCGGAUAUGUAAGUCAGUGGUGAAAUCUUCCCGCUUAACGGGAAAACUGCCAUUGAUACUAUAUAUCUUGAAUGCUGUGGAGGUAAGCAGAAUAUGUCAUGUAGCGGUGAAAUGCUUAGAGAUGACAUAGAAUACCUAUUGCGAAGGCAGCUUACUACGCAGAUAUUGACGCUGAGGCGCGAAAGCUAGGGGAGCAAACGGG
rnacentral:rRNA from 1 species